rnacentral:rRNA from 1 species
AUUGAACGCUGGCGGAAUGCUUUACACAUGCAAGUCGAACGAUGAAGCCUAGCUUGCUAGGUCGAUUAGUGGCGAACGGGUGAGUAAUAUAUCGGAACGUAUCCAAUAAUGGGGGAUAACUAGUCGAAAGAUUGGCUAAUACCGCAUACGUCCUACGGGAGAAAGCUGGGGAUCGUAAGACCUGGCGUUAAUGGAGCGGCCGAUAUCUGAUUAGCUCGUUGGUGAGGUAAAGGCUCACCAAGGCGACGAUCAGUAGCUGGUCUGAGAGGACGACCAGCCACACUGGAACUGAGACGCGGUCCAGACUCCUACGGGAGGCAGCAGUGGGGAAUUUUGGACAAUGGGCGAAAGCCUGAUCCAGCCAUUCCGCGUGAGUGAAGAAGGCCUUCGGGUUGUAAAGCUCUUUCGCAAGGGAAGAACACUUACUUAAUAACACUAAGUGAGGAUGACGGUACCUUGAUAAGAAGCACCGGCUAACUACGUGCCAGCCGCCGCCGUAAAAC